GUCUAUGACCAUGCCACCCUGAACAAGCCCGAUCCCGUCUGAUCUCGGAAGCUAAGCAGGGUGGGGCCUGGUUAGUACUUGGAUGGGAGACCACCUAGGAAGACCAGGUGCUGGAGGC
rnacentral:rRNA from 1 species